rnacentral:rRNA from 1 species
GACGAACGCUGGCGGCGUGCUUAACACAUGCAAGUCGAACGGAAAGGCCCUGCUUUUGUGGGGUGCUCGAGUGGCGAACGGGUGAGUAACACGUGAGUAACCUGCCCUUGACUUUGGGAUAACUUCAGGAAACUGGGGCUAAUACCGGAUAGGAGCUCCUGCUGCAUGGUGGGGGUUGGAAAGUUUCGGCGGUUGGGGAUGGACUCGCGGCUUAUCAGCUUGUUGGUGGGGUAGUGGCUUACCAAGGCUUUGACGGGUAGCCGGCCUGAGAGGGUGACCGGCCACAUUGGGCCUGAGAUACGGCCCAGACUCCUACGGGAGGCAGCAGUGGGGAAUAUUGCACAAUGGGCGGAAGCCUGAUGCAGCAACGCCGCGUGCGGGAUGACGGCCUUCGGGUUGUAAACCGCUUUCGCCUGUGACGAAGCGUGAGUGACGGUAAUAGGUAAAGAAGCACCGGCUAACUACGUG